CCUACGGGGUGCUGCAGUGAGGAAUAUUGGUCAAUGGGCGUAAGCCUGAACCAGCCAAGUCGCGUGAGGGAUGAAGGGUCUAUGGAUCGUAAAACUCUUUUAUAAGGGAAUAAAGUGUGGGACGUGUCCUAUUUUGUAUGUACCUUAUGAAUAAGGAUCGGCUAACUCCGUGCCAGCAGCCGCGGUAAUCCGGAGGAUCCGAGCGUUAUCCGGAUUUAUUGGGUUUAAAGGGUGCGUCGGCGGACUGUUAAGUCAGCGGUAAAAGCCCGGGGCGCAACCCCGGAGAGCCGUGGAAACUGGCUGUCUUGAGAUGUCGAGAGGUAUGCGGAAUGCGCAGUGUAGCGGUGAAAUGCUUAGAGAUUGCGCAGAACUCCGAGUGCGAAGGCAGCAUACCGGCGGCGAUCUGACGCUGAGGCACGAAAGCGUGGGUAUCGAACAGGAUUAGAUACCCCGGUAGUC
rnacentral:rRNA from 1 species